GGAAGAGAAGCUGGGCCAUGAACUGCUUACAAAUAUCAGAUAAGAGAGAAAAUUGAAUGUUAAGAACAAGAGAGUAAUGAACAAACAAAGCUACAGUAAUAGCAUAUACAUAAAGCUAGUAUCGUUUUAGAGCUACAAGUCACAUGAUAACAUGACAAAAGGAAUCCAGAAGGAACUGGUGAGUGAAAACCUGUUUCAUCUAAUAGAUUCAUUUCCAGUCCAAUUUUCAGAACUCCAGCUGAAUACAGCCAUAUAAAACUAGUUGCACAGGCUUUAACUAAUAAUACCAUUGGCAACAGAACAGCCACAACAAAAAUGCAGAUUCAUCCUUGUACAGCCAAUUAGUUUACCACCAACCAAUUCCAAAACACAAAACAAAAUAUUCAUAAGAUAAUUUCAACACAAUUAGAUUUCAUUGUUUUUAUACUACAAUAAACUAGAUGUGUUAUUGACGUCAGAAGCCUUCACAAGCUUCCAUCACCAUGUUCAAUGGCCCUCGGCUCAGAACUUUAUGUUGCUGACACUUUCUAUGGAAGCUGGGAAAUUACUAACUGAACUGUAUUUCUUAAACAAAACAACUGCUGCUCAACAUUAACUCACUGAAUGCCAUAUGAAGAUGCAUCCAGAACCAUACAUAACAAAGACACAAACUCAAGCCCCCCAUUCAUCAAGCAACACACAGAUAACAAAAGCCAACCAAUAGCUUUUGAUAAUUACACAUUCAAUUUUCCCUCAUUCGCACCUUUAGUAAGCCAUGAUUCAAUAAUGAAAAGCCAACAACUAAGUUAAAGCAAAAUCACAAGAAAAUGCAUGGAAAAUUUGUUAACAAAGAUUUUACCUUUCAGUAGUGGCUCCUCCAGUA
rnacentral:misc_RNA from 1 species